CAAAGGACAAGCUGUUAGCCAAAUGCUCUGUUCUACAUUAACCGUUACAAUUGUGGAAUAAAAUUGUCCGAGGGGCCAAAGGAAUCAUUUAGUAAAGCGUGCAUUCCUUUUCAAGACAAUACGCUGAUUCCAACUUGUCAUCUCGGACAGUAUAUCAGUAAGGAUAAGCAAGUUUAUAACCAAGUCCAUAAGUCAUAACAACAG